AAGGGAAUAAUAAACAUGCCGGAGAAAAAGUUCCAAAACCUGAAGUCUCACGACUGCCACGUGAUUAUGACGCAAUUGCUUCCGAUUGCUUUGGGGGGGCUCCUACCGGAAAAUGUUCGAGUAGCCAUUGUGAAGCUAUGUGCAUUCCUCAAUGCAAUCUCUCAGAAGGUAAUCAAUCCAGAAGAUCUACCACGGUUACAGAACGAUGUGGUCCAAUGCCUUGUCAGUUUCGAGUUGGUGUUCCCACCAUCCUUCUUCAAUAUUAUGACGCACCUCCUGGUCCACCUAGUCGAAGAGAUUUCCAUUCUCGGUCCUGUAUUUCUACACAAUAUGUUCCCCUUUGAGAGGUUCAUGGGAGUAUUAAAGAAAUAUGUUCGUAACCGUGCUAGGCCAGAAGGAAGCAUCUCCAAGGGCCAUCAAAAUGAGGAGGUAAUUGAGUUCUGUAUUGACUAUGUUCCUGACCUUAAGCCGAUUGGUAUUCCUCAAUCGCGGUACGAGGGGAGACUAAGUGGAAAAGGCAAGAUCGGAAGGGAUACCACGAUAUGUAUGGACGGUCAUUCUAUGACUGAAGCACACCACACAGUUCUGCAAAAUUCCAGCUUGGUGGCUCCGUACUUCGAGCAAUACAAGAAUAUUUUACGCUCGGACAACCCGGGGAAGCCUGAAUCCUGGAUUAGAAAGGCC
rnacentral:rRNA from 1 species